rnacentral:rRNA from 1 species
GAUGAACGCUGGCGGCGUGCCUAACACAUGCAAGUCGAGCGAUUUACUUCGGUAAAGAGCGGCGGACGGGUGAGUAACGCGUGGGUAACCUGCCCUGUACACACGGAUAACAUACUGAAAGGUAUGCUAAUACGGGAUAACAUAAGAGAGUCGCAUGGCUUUCUUAUCAAAGCUUUUGCGGUACAGGAUGGACCCGCGUCUGAUUAGCUGGUUGGUAAGGUAACGGCUUACCAAGGAGACGAUCAGUAGCCGACCUGAGAGGGUGAUAGGCCGCAUUGGAACUGCGGCACGGUCCAAACUGCUGCGGGAGGGAGCAGUGGGGAAUAUUGCACAAUGGGCGAGAGCCUGAUGCAGCAACGCCGCGAGAGCGAUGAAGGCCGUCGGGUCGUAAAGCUCUGUCCUCAAGGAAGAUAAUGACGGUACUUGAGGAGGAAGCCCCGGCUAACUACGUGCCAGCAGCCGCAGUAA